rnacentral:rRNA from 1 species
AACGAACGCUGGCGGCAUGCCUAACACAUGCAAGUCGAACGAACCCUUCGGGGUGAGUGGCGCACGGGUGCGUAACGCGUGGGAACCUGCCCUUAGGUUCGGAAUAACAGUGAGAAAUCGCUGCUAAUACCGGAUAAUGUCUUCGGACCAAAGAUUUAUCGCCUUUGGAUGGGCCCGCGUUGGAUUAGCUAGUUGGUGGGGUAAAGGCUCACCAAGGCGACGAUCCAUAGCUGGUCUUAGAGGAUGAUCAGCCACACUGGGACUGAGACACGGCCCAGACUCCUACGGGAGGCAGCAGUGGGGAAUAUUGGACAAUGGGCGAAAGCCUGAUCCAGCAAUGCCGCGUGAGUGAUGAAGGCCUUAGGGUUGUAAAGCUCUUUUACCAGGGAUGAUAAUGACAGUACCUGGAGAAUAAGCUCCGGCUAACUCCGUGCCAGCAGCCGCGGUAAAGUCAGU